UCGUGCUAGGCGGGGAACUAGCGGUGCCCUGUACCUGCAAUCCGCUUUAGCAGGGCCGAAUUCCUGCCCGAGGCGCUCGUGCUGUGAGAGCACUGGCCGCAUGCACGGUGUUGAAGGUUGGGUCCCGCGCAACGUGAGACCGUGAACCUGGUCAGGUCCGGAAGGAAGCAGCCAUAAGCGGUAAAUUGCGUGUGCCGCGGGGGUGCCUGGCCGGAGCCGGACGUGCUGUUAAGCCUUGUAGCCGGACGUCGACGGCAGGUGCACGA
rnacentral:SRP_RNA from 1 species